UGACGUCGCUUAUAUUCCAAUAUUGAGCUUGAACUAAGCUCCUCACAUUGUAGAUUUCCUCCUUCACGUCUGCAACCAUCUUGGACAUGGCUGCUAAGGAGGGAACGACGUCAGUGGAGGGAGCAGUCUAGGGGCCUCGGAGCUCUCUCAACAAGUCAUCUCUCAGCUCCCUCACAAUCUUCUAUCUCAACUCCCGAAGUUGCUCAGAGCUGAUCCGGACUUCGAGAG
rnacentral:lncRNA from 1 species